rnacentral:lncRNA from 1 species
AGUGGGGAGAGAAGAGGGACCACAGUUCCCUAGGGGCAAGGUGUAGACAAAUUGCCUCUGGAACAGUCUACUCUGAGCCCUGGAUAUACAGCUCAGGCUCUUAUUCCACUAAAAAGUUCUUCCCAAUACCACCCAACUUCUUUGACCCACUACCACUGAAAGGGACAUGGAGAGACUAGGAUCCAUGCUCUCCUGAACUCCCCAGUCUCAUCUGUAGGGCAGAAUCUUAACACGACCAUGAAGUUCAUUCUUCCCUUUGCUCUCCUUGUGGGUACAUUUUCCUGUGAUCAUAAUUCAGAAAAGGAGGAAGACUUGGCCCCUUCUCUGGUAUAUAUCAAAAACCACUUCCACCCCUGCAUAGCUACUCUCUUGCACCAACAAUCUCUGCUGGCUGCUGCUCAGUGCUACUUACCGUAAGCCUCAAAGUGAUGGUGGAAAAUUUCUCAAAGAAACUUAAGGACAGAACAGAGCAAAUAAUUUAUUCCAUCCAGAUCAUUCACUACUGGAAUUUAACUACAGAUUCUUCCAAGCACCUUAACAAGGCAUCCUUGACCUGGACCUCUAAAAGUAUCAGUGUCAUCCCUGGAGUCACCAAGUGUCCUGUCUCUGGCUUGGAUUGGAGCACACAGAAUAGUGGUAGAAAGCAGUUUGACCUUAAGAAAAAAUUUAAGACUUCUCCAAUCACAGAGAAAGAGUGUCAGAAAAAAGAACUUGGGAAAGUCUGCAGCAAAAACAAGCAAUAUGUGAAAUUCUUAAAAUCAUUCAAGAGACUUUGUGUGGAAACUUGGAUCCACCUAUGACAUAAAUGGUAUAUGACUAUUGACGAAGGGGAUGAGGUAUUAUUAUUAAUUCUCUAAAGACUGUACUGGGUUAUUGGAGAUGGGGGAGAUAGG